ACUACUCACCAGAGACCCUUUAAGCCUUAAUCACGAAUCUCCUCAAAAUUUUUCCAUAGUACCUCUCUCUCUCUCUCUGCGCACAUUUAUUGAAGUUCACAACAGGUGAAUUGAUUUCCUUAUCAUUAAUGGCUUCCUUUUGGUCAUUCUUGGCAACUUUCAUGGUUUUCGUGGCCUAUUUUAUUUCACCAGCUUUUACAUCUCAAGUACAUGUACAAUUCUCUACUAUAUCAGCAGCUCCUGCACUCUUGCCUGAAGCUCCCUUAUCCUCUCCUCCAAAUUUAUCACCAGACAUUGAGCCUGUGUUUCCUACCACUGGAGCUGGGGUACCUUCUCCAGCUGAGUCAUCACUUCCCACCAUUCCUUCAAGCCGAAGCCCUCCAAAUCCAGAUCUCAUUGAUCCAGCUCCGGGGCCUGUGUUUGCUGUGUCACCAUCUGGGUCUUUACCAGCUUCUUCUGCUACUUCUCUGAGUUCAUUAGCAACUCUAAAUCUAGCUCUCUACUUUCUUGGUUUGCUGGUGUUUUGCUUGGUGCAGCUUUCUGCUUUGUGAGAUUGAGCAACCAUUUAUGGAUCUGCUUCUACUAGACAUGUUGAGCUUACACAUUACUGAUCUUCAUCUAAACUAUGAUUCCAUUAGUGGCUGACGGUUUUCUGAUAUGAACUGUAUCUACAAGCUACUUGUUGGCUCCAACCUUUACCUAGGGAGCUGGUACACUCCCACGAGAUUUUGAAAAGCCAUUGAAAAGCUUCCCUGAAAAUACCUCCUUCAACUUCUCCAACAUAAAGGGCUCGUUUUCUUGGGGGAGCCUUUAGCUACAUGCUUCCUGAGCUGCACAUUUUCCAGCUUAAGCACUUCUAUAGCCAAACUGAGUUGCCUUAUAACCUCUCUCUUCUCUUCAUCUUUCUGCAGAAGUUGUUCACUCUGAAUUCUGUUCUCUUCUUUGAGUAUUUCUAUUUCGUCCUGCAUCUUCAUCACCUCAUCAUUACAGACUGAACCUGAAACUUCAACUUCACCAGUUUCUAUUUUCUGUUCAGGCUCCUCAACUUCUCCCAUUUCUUCUUCAAAUUCAGUUUCCUCUUCCUGUCCAGGAUCUUCAACUUCAGACUCAGCAGAGUACGUUUCAGAAUCAGAAUGGCUGUCAUAGAUUUUAUUCAUCCCACCCGUUAACUUCUGCCGUUGAUAUUUGAUUGUUGUUAGGCGAUUUCCAGAGUCAGAUUUAAGUAGAUCAUAUUGCUCAGCUAAUGAUCGAUGUGUCCUGUAAAAAUCUUCAACCAUGCUAAUGAGCUCAGGCCGUUUCUUAUAA